GGCACGGGGGGGCGGGCGGGUGUUUCGUGCGCGGUGCCGCAGCUCGGCCCCUUCCUCCUCGAGCUGGUGCUGGCGGGACGCUGCUCCGCCCCGCUCCGCUUGGCCCUGGGCGCGGUGCUCGCCCCCCGCACAGAGUCGGAGCCGCCGCUCUCCUGGGGCGCCUGGUGCGGCCACGCCUCGCCCGGCCUCGUUGCGCGGCGGGGCAGCGCGGUGCGGGCGGGCAGGCCCCGGCGUCGGACGGACCCGGGGGAGGGGGUGGAAAUGUGCCCGUGAGCAGUGGUGUGGAGCUGUGUGAGCACCGGGGGGUUUUCAUGUUGCCUGUUUUGUGUGGGGGGCUUGGGAGACAUUUUUUGUGGCAGUGUGAUGAUCUUUUUGGUCAGAAGUUGGUCAUUUAGUGUGGCGAUUUGGAGGUGUUUUGUGGAAAUGUGUGAAAUAUGGUGGUAUUGGGAGAAUUGUGUGAGGAGCUGGGACCUUCAUUUGGAAAUUGUGGAAAUGUGAUUGGGGGGAAUUUGGUCAUUGUGUGCGGUGAUAUAGUGCCUUGUUUGGAAAUACUGCUAUUUUGUGUGGAAACGUCAUGGUUUGGGAACCUUGUGGAAAUGUGUUGAUUUUGUGUGGAAGUGGUGUGAUAAUUUUAGGGUGAUUUGGGAACUGUUUGUGCAACUGGUGUGUUGUGGGACCUGUGGCAAAUUGUAUGGGGAUUGGUUCACUGUAUGGAAAUAUGGCUGUGUUGUGUGAGGGAAAUGGUCUGGGGAUUUGGAAACCCUUUUUGUGGGCUCGUGUGUGGGCUUGUGGUGGUUUGCGUGUGGAAAACCAGACAUCCUUUGUGGUGAGUUGGAGGCGUUUUUGUGGCAAUGUUUGGAGAUAUUCUGUUGGGAGAGGUCUGUGGGGAUUUGGGACGUUUAUUGGGGGAGUGUGUGGAAGUGUUAAAAUGUUGUGAGAAACUGGUGAUGGUGUGUGGUACUAAAGGACGUUGUUUCUUGGAAAAUGUGAUUUUUGUGUGGAAAACUAGUGAUUUAGGAACUCUGUGGAGAUGUCUGUGGAAAUGUGGUGAUUAUGGCAGUGAGAAGUGGUGUGGUAGUUUUAGGGUAAUUUGGGAACUGUUUGUGCAACUGAUGUUCGUGGGAGCUGUGGAAAUGUGCGUGCAUGGGAAUAUGGUUGUGUUGUGUGGGGGAAACGGUGUGGGGAUUUGGAAACCUUUUUUGAGGGCAUGUGGCGACUUUUGUGUGGAAAACAGUUUGUUCUGUGUGGUGAUUUGAGAACCCCCUUUUUAUCUGGAAGUGCUGAUUUUGUUUGGUGGGAGGCGAGUCAUUUUGUGGUAAUUUGGUGAUGCGUUGGUGGAAAGGUGUGGGGAAACGUGGUAUUGGGAGAAUUCUGUGGGGACUGGGGAGCGUGUCUGUGGAAAUGUGCUUUUUUGUGGAAGAUGUGAUGGUAUGUGGUGAAAAAGGAUUUGUUUUGGAAAUGUGAUUUUUUUUUUUUGCGUGGAAAACGUGAUCUGGCAGGUGUAUGUGGAAAUGUGAGUGGAAAUAUCUGGUGAUCUUUUUGUGUGUGUGGAAAAUGGUCUGGUAAUUUUAGGGUGAUUUAGGAACCAUUUUUGUGGAACUUGUGUGUUGUGGGACGUGUGGAAUAGUUUGUGGUGACUGGGUAAGUGUGGAAAUAUGCUUGUGUUGUGUGAGGGAAAUGGUAGGCAGGGGUUGGAAAAAUUUUUGUGGGCAUGUGUGCGCCUGUGUUUGGACACGUGGUGGUUUCCAUGUCGAAAACUGGCCCUGAUUUGAAAACCCUUUUUCUGGCAGUGUGGUAGGGUGUUGGGUUUUUUUGAGUGGGAGGUUGGUUAUUUUGUGUGGUGAUAUGGAAGUUUUUUUGUAGAAAAGUUUGGGGAAAUAUGGUGGUUUUGGGAGAGUUCUGUGGUGCUUUGGGAACUCUUUACUGGAAAUGUUUGGAAAUGUGAUUUUUGUUGUGGAAUUUAGGACCUAGAGGUAUAUAGGACAUUUGUUUGGAACUAUAGGGGUUUUGCGUGGAAAUAUGGUGAUUUAAUUUUUAGAAAAUGGUGUGGUAACUUUAGGGUGAUUUGGGAACUGUUUUGUGCGACCUGUGGAAAAUUGUGUGGCGGUGGGGUAAGCAUAUGGAAAUAUGGGUAUGUUGUAUGAGGGAAAAUGCAUGGUGAUUUGGAAACCUUUUUUGUAGUAGUGUGUGUAGAAAAGUGUGAUUUUGUGUGUGUGUGUGUGGUCAUUUGAUAAGUCUGAAUGGGAAUGUGCCGGGCUGGCCCACGGGGGUCAUUUCAUCUACUGCGGUGCGUUUAAUGGUGUGUGUCUUCUCACUCUAAUGAAACGGUCUAACGUGGUUCUUUCCUUUCUUUCCAACUGCUCCUUGUGCACCUGUUCAUGGAAGCAGUGUCAGCGAGGAGCUGCAGCAUGAAAGAAGUGGGACUUGGAAAUAUCCAAGGCACCACGGGUAACAGUUUCAGCUGUGUGUGAUGGACGUAGAGGGUGUUUGUAAUCAGUCAUGUACGUUAUGGAGAACCAGGUACUGUUUAAUCUUUUGACAGACAAGCCUACAGUUCUGUUAUGGUGAGGACAGUUUUGCAGGUUAAGAGACAACAUUCUAGGUAAGUAGCCAUUCCUUUACUUAUUACCAGGGAUCCUGCUUUUCUCAGAAGAAAAAACAAAUCACAAAAUCUCUGAUUAGCCCCCCAAAUCCACCUUUUUUCAUGAUCAAAAGGAAAUGCCACUAUAUAUAUAUAUAUAUAUAUAUAUAUAUAUAUAUAUAUAUAUAUAUAUAGGGAUUGGUUGAACACUGUUUUAUUGAUAUGUUUCCAAUGUUAAAGCCACUUGGAAUCUUACCAGUGCACAACCUCGUGGCCAUUCCUGUACUCGUCACUCCCCACCCAUGGCCCCCUAGCCUGCCAGCGCCCCUCAGUUGCCAAGCACGGUCCCUUGGGCCCUGGCAGUGCCUCCGAGUUCGCACCCACAGCCGCAUGCUGCACCCCAGUUGCCAGGGUUACUGGAUCGGGGUCCUGGAUGUGUCAGGCGGCCGCUGCUGUGGCCUGAGGGGGGAGCGGAGCACAGCUCCCGCUUUCAUGGAUGGCACAGCCUGAGUAGAGCCUGUGGGGGGUGCGUGCGUGCUAUCUGCUAUGGGCUUGGGCACUUCACUCUGUUGCCCUUCCCCUGGGGUUUCUGGAGCCCAGUGGGCAGGACCCAGCGUGGAAGUAGAGAGCAGGGAUGGGCAGGGAAGAUUGGUGCUGCCCCUGCAAGUCCCACGCUAUCAUGAUGAGGCACCCUGUGCCUACCCAGCAGCAGCAAGGGGAAGAACUCUGUGCUGCCACCCCCGGUGCUGUCUGGCGGGCAGGGGGCAACUUGCUGUGGUAGUGUAGGGGUCACGGUGGUGGCACUGAGCUUCUGUGCCCUAUAUUGCCCUCCUGUGCCAGCUCUCACCCACUGGGCCACAGAGGCUUUGCAGCGGUCAGCAGGGUUGGAAGACCAAGCCUGCAAUGGGCAACCUGCCCCCAAUGUGCACAAAUCGGAGGCGUGUGCACCCCAUCCCCCCAGGAGUGUGUGCAGUGGCAGGCAGUCAAGCCCUCUGCCCACUCCUCACCUAAGCCCUGUAGCUGUGUAUUGCAGCCCCAGGCCCCAUGCACGGGCACAGCUGGGCAGAAGCCCCAGCCCUGCCCAAGUCCCUCACUCCCUAUUUAUGGGGGCCUCAAUUCACUACCUCCCGCUGCACCUGACUUCCCUGUGGGGACCCAAUCUCCAGGCUGUGGGCAGGUGUGUACAUGCUCACACGCGCAUAGCAACCCUUUGUGACCCCUCCUUCUAUUCCCCCGAGAGCCUUGCAGGAUGAAACUCUGGCAGCCUGCAAGGAGAAACCCACCGGUGGUCAUACUGUUCCCCUUUAAAGGAGAAAAUCUGGAUUUCUCUCAUCUAAAAGAGAAAAUCUGGGGGGGCUGGGUGUCGGCAAAUAAAAACCUAGGAUUCCGGACUAGCCCAGGGAUUGACACGACACCUCGUUCGAUGAGUGACAGAAAGGCUUUAUUUACUACAAGUAUUUAAGAUCAAGUCAAGUGAUUCCAAACCAAAUCAAAGUCCAGUAAUUAGCUAUAAGGUGAUGAUUUCUUGCCAAACAGGCGGUCUGUUUCUCUUCAACUUCUUGAGUAAGUUGGGCGCAUCAGCAAGCCGUGUCAGAGAGGUUUUUCACUCCUGAAACGCGCGUGUGCUGCUUUACUGCUUUUUUUAUACCCUUAGUUUAGCAUGUGUAAAUCAAGACAGAGUCCCAAACAGUAAUUGACAGGAAAAACCUGCUGAUUACUGGUGAUCAGAAAUUUCUAAUUUGAACGAGUUACCUUCUUCAGUAACAAGAGGUUAUCCAGUUUGGAACAUAUUGAGAAACUGAUUAACCGCUAGGAAAAACGUACUAAAUCAGGAGGAGACAUCUAUUACAUAUGGAGAACGUCUUUCGGCACAUAAACAUGAGUUAGUCGCAAAAGAAAUAUUUAUCAUACUAAUUAAUCAAGGAUAGACAUUUCAUACGGUUACGCACCAGACAACUAAGAGUCUGCGUGAAAUCAUCCUGAAUAUAGCCAGAUAAGGUGGAAGAAAUGCUUCAUAAUUCCUUCUCAGAUGGCCUAGCCAUGAAAUCGCAUCGUCUUGCAUUAUGCAGUUAGCAUUAUUAUUCUGUAUUUUAACUUUUGUGAGUAGGGCUAAGCUUAGCAUGGUUUUCAGAGUCAUUUGGGGGGGGGGGUCCUUAAGGUGACAAACUGGGUUUUACUGCGUUUUUCCUUGGCGAAUGGAAACCCUGGGUCCCUGCCAAUUACCCUUUUUGUAUGUAAAGUGAAGACACAAUGACAUUUCCCAGUGACGCUCCAGUCCCUCUGAGCCGGUCCUCCAAACUGGAUAAAGCAGCUAGAGACAGGGCUAUAAUAUGCACUUUUAUAGAUCACACCUCGAGGCAUAAGAAUAAACCCUUUGUGCUAUGCCCACCUAGUGACUUGUCACACCACAAUACAGUUUGUCAAGUCUACCAGCUGGGGAGAUGCAGGAGGGAGGAAGAGGCUAACAGCAGGUUGUCUCCACUUUGCAAAGGUCUUUGUAGUUUCCCUUUGUUUAAACCUAAUUUUUACGUGGGCUUUUCAAACCGAUAGUCUGACGGGUGUCACGCAGACUUGUUUUGCUGAAACUUUGGGAAUGAGACUGAACCCAUUUUUCUGUGCACUUGGGACAUGUCGAUGACUGGGGCCUGUGUCCCUGGGAAAAUUCCAACUCUGGAAGGGAGGAACACUGCUCCUCUCUUUCCUUGCCUGCCUGGGAAUGCUCCUUGCCUUGUGUUUGUUAAACUCUGCCAUUUAGACCUAUUUUAACUUGUAACAGGGUCACAAAACCAAACGCCAGUUGCUGCUCAUAGCCGCUGUUUCCCACCGUUCCAGAAAGCAGCUACUCGCUCUUGGUCUUGUCUGGUAUUAAAGUCUUGAGAAACAGA